AUAAAUCAAACAGUUACAAAGUCAUCUAUCACUCAUAAUGAUGGGGUCCCAGGUUCGAAUCCCGGUGUAGCCACCA
rnacentral:tRNA from 1 species